CCUACCGAUCUAGGGUUAGCGCGGUGCUCACGGAAAGCUCCACCACCUCGCCCACUCUCCGCCAUCGCCGUGCGCCCCAGCACCACGAUGGCCUCCAGCUCGAGUUCAUCUGCUGCUGGACAAGGUAGGUUCACCGGAUCUAUUAGCCUACUCCGAUCCAAAGUUCUAUCACCGGAAGCUCGAUUCUUGAUCCGUCCAUGGUGUUCAGGAGAUACGUCCCUGCAUCGUCCGACGAGGAAUCGGAGGAGCUCAGGACCAGGACCCAGCCCUGCGGUGUCGCCAACCAUACCUUCUUCUUGCUCGACACCAACGGUGUGACAUCUUGAAGCUUCUGGUCAGGCAAACUGAAGAGCUUGUACGGCGAACGAUCUGGACCUGGCGGCGGCGCAAGCACCAACAGCGGGUAAGCCACGGACACGUUCGACUCCUCGGCCAAAUCCACCGCUGACAACAGGGGCGUACACAAGUCCAAGUCAGCCAUGGGCCAUGGCCAGGGUCGUAAGGCUAGAUCGCGUCGUUUACUGUAGCUACGCUCUGGUUGGCGAUGACAAAGGCACAAGGCUCUGCAUUCUGCAACCACGGAUCUGGUGAGAACAGGGCGUCGCGUGGCACACAUAUAUAGGGGGUUGGCUUCCCCGAUUCCUGAUUGAAAAGAGACGGCUAUGUCGAAACCGGAAUUAUCUGCUCGGACUCCGGCAGCUAUGGGAAACACUUACAUUCAGUAGUCUGAUAGGAGAACUUUUUCAGACGGAUCUUGUGCCAUUGAUGCUUUUAAUCCCACGGCCCAUAUUUCUAAGCUAACUGCCCAAAUUAAUUUGAUCCGAGAAAAUCUCGCCUGCCCCGUCCAGUACCUCAUUACUCCACGUCCGAGCUAAUCUCGCUUGCGAGACCCAACCAUCCAACCCGUCUCACAUCCCUCGGGCGAGCGCAGCCCCAAGGUCGCCGACCUCCUUCGUCACGCCGGCUAUCUCCACCACCACCCCGCUCCGCCCCAAAACUCGGGAACGUCUACAACUCCUCCAGGUGACCGGUGCAAAGACCCAUCCUCGCCUGCUUCGCUGAAUCCUACUCUCACCGCCAACGGCGUCACACCCAUCGCCGGCCUUGUUCCCCGCCAGACCCUGCCUCAUCACCAUUCAUCCCACCGCGCUGGUGCGUCGUUUCGGCUCGGAAGAGGCUACACGCGUAUGCCAGCCGUCGUCCCCCAGGCUCGGUGUCAACUCCCGAUGGUCCGGUGAAUGGUUAAUAGACAGGAUUGAUCCGGAUAUGCUUCUUAAUUGUAAUGUACAUGCUUAUGUGAAGUACAAAGCAGAGAACUUGCUUCAUUGGGCAAAGAAAACAUGGUGAAUUGUGAAUGGGUGUGACACAAGACAUGUGUCUCCAUGUUGGACGCAAUCUUAAUUUGUUUCCAUUUUCAAUGUUCCAAGAUUCCACUUUGAUACCGACAAAAAACUAUUUUAGAGCA